CCUACGGGUGGCAGCAGUGGGGAAUAUUGCACAAUGGGGGAAACCCUGAUGCAGCGACGCCGCGUGAGCGAAGAAGUAUUUCUGUAUGUAAAGCUCUAUCAGCAGGGAAGAAAAUCACGGUACCUGAGUAAGAAGCUCCGGCUAAAUACGUGCCAGCAGCCGCGGUCAUACGUAUGGAGCAAGCGUUAUCCGGAUUUACUGGGUGUAAAGGGAGCGUAGGCGGCCUUGCAAGUCUGGUGUGAAAUACCGGGGCUCAACCCCGGAGCUGCAUUGGAAACUGGGAGGCUGGAGUGUGGGAGAGGCAGGCGGAAUGCCUAGUGUAGCGGUGAAAUGCGUAGAUAUUAGGAGGAACACCAGUGGCGAAGGCGGCCUGCUGGACGAUGACUGACGCUGAGGCUCGAAAGCGUGGGGAGCAAACAGGAUUAGAUACCCUUGUAGUC
rnacentral:rRNA from 1 species